AUUGAACGCUGGCGGCAGGCCUAACACAUGCAAGUCGAGCGGGGUUUUCGGACCUAGCGGCGGACGGGUGAGUAAUGCGUAGGAAGCUACCCGAUAGAGGGGGAUACCAGUUGGAAACGACUGUUAAUACCGCAUAAUGUCUACGGACCAAAGUGUGGGACCUUCGGGCCACAUGCUAUCGGAUGCGCCUAAGUGGGAUUAGCUAGUUGGUGGGGUAAUGGCUCACCAAGGCGACGAUCCCUAGCUGGUUUGAGGGGAUGAUCAGCCACACUGGAACUGGGACACGGUCCAGACUCCUCCGGGAGGCAGCAGUGGGGAAUAUUGGAAAAUGGGCACAAGCCUGAUCCAGCCAUGCCGCGUGUGUGAAGAAGGCCUUCGGGUUGUAAAGCACUUUCAGUAGGGAGGAAGCGUUGUGUGUUAAUAGUACACAGCGUUGACGUUACCUACAGAAGAAGCACCGGCUAACUCUGUGCCAGCCGCCGCGGUAACAC
rnacentral:rRNA from 1 species